UCUGGGCUUCCUUUACAGGGGGCAAUGCUCUGGUUGCAUCCCGUCUCCUCCCCUUGUUUCCUCUUAGAGUCCUCCACAUGUGAAGAGGACCGUGACUUGUUAUUAUUGCGGUAUACUAGGUCACAUCGAGCAUGAUUACUGGAAGAAGCAGCAUGGAUUUUCGUGUGUCACUCUUCCUGACACUUCUUCAUUGGUUCCACCUCUUCUUCCAACACCUUACUCUCUCCAAGCACCAUAUGUACAAGCUUCUCAGGCUCCGUUGUCUCUUGUGGAUCAGUAGUUUUUGGUGAUGUUCUAGCAGUCCCAUCUAGCAAACUCCACCUCCUCUACUGGACAUGCAAGUUUGACUCAGGUUGCCUCAUCCGCUCCAGGAUUCCGCAGCAACUCCACUUUGACUGGUCUUCUCUGACACCUCUCCAGCUAUCGUUCUGACUCCUAAGGUACCUACAGGGAAGCGGUUCAGUCACCUGAGUGGCAGAUUGCAUGGCAGAGGAGCUUAAUGCCUUAUCUCGGACUCACAUAUAGGAUCUAGUUCCUUUUCCUGCCCACGUUGUUGCCAUCACCUUUCACUAGAUCUACUAGAUGAAGACUUUUUCUGACGGGUCUCUUGAGCGCUAUAAAACAUGUUUAGUUGCUCGUGGUUUUCAACAGGAGUAUAGCCGCAACUAUGAGGAGACUUUUGCCCUAGUGGCUCACAUGCACUCUGUAUGCACAUUGGUUGUUGUUACGGCUGUUCGUGGGUGGGUCUUUCAUCAGCUUGAUGUGAAGAAUGUGUUUCUUCACGGGGACUUAAAAGAGGAGGUUUACAUGACUCCUCCUCCUGGUCUUCGAGUGCCUCCAGGGUAUGUUUGUCGCCUUCAUAGUGCUAUUUAUUAUCUCAAACAGGCUCCGUAGGUUUGGUUUGAGUGGUUCGGCACAGUAGUUGAGACUGCUAGUUUCACUACAAGCAUACAUGAUCCUGCAAUAUUUCUUCAUUCUUCUUCUCGGGGCUGGACCAUUCUUUUGUUGUAUAUGGAUGACAUGAUUCUUAUUGGUGAUGACUCUGCUCACAUUACCUUUGUGAAGCAGAAGCUAUAUGAGACAUUUUUGAUGAUUGAUUUGGGUUCGCUUCGUUAUUUCCUGGGUAUCAAUGUCACUUCCCAUCCUGAUAGCUACCGUCUCUCUCAGUAGCGUUAUACUCAAGAUCUACUUGCUCGCUCUAGUUUGACCGAUACCUAUAUUGCAGUUACACCUAUGGAGCUACAUUUGCAUCUUCAUGCUUUGAUGAGAUUCCUUUAUCUGAUCUAUCGCUCUAUUGACACCUGGUUGGCAGUUUGGUCUACUUGGCUAUCAUUCGCCUUGACAUUUCCCAUGUUGUUAACUUUCUCAGUCAGUUUUCGUAGCCCCCACUUCCUUUCAUUAUGCUCAUGUUCUCCAAGUGCUGCUUUAUCUUCGUGGCACUACAUCACGUGCUAUGUUCUACCCUCGGUAGUCCACUCUUCAGCUGCAGGCCUAUUAUGAUGCUACCUAGUCCAGUUCUCUUAAUGAUCGAGUAUCUGUCACUGGUUACUGUAUCUUUCUUCGGCCUUCUCUUGUUUUUUGGAAGACCAAGAAACAGGCUACUGUUGGCAAGUCCAGUGUUGAGGCCGAGGUUCGUGUUUUGGCUUCCACUGUCCAGGAGGUACUCUGGCUUUGUUUGAUCAUAAAGAAUUAUGGUUUACUACUUCGUUCUUCCACUCCUCUUCACUGUGACAGUACUAGCACUCUUCAGAUUGCUGCCUAUCCGAUCAAGCAUGAGCUGACCAAACACAUUAGUGUGGAUGCUCACUUCACCCGAUGUCAUGUACGUACCCAGACAGUGUCACUUCACUAUCUUCCCAUAAAGGUCCAGGUGGCUGAUUUCUUCACCAAGGCACAGACGCGUGAUUAGCAUCUCUUCAUGUUAUCCAAACUCAAAACAUACGAUCCGCCUUGAGUUUGAGAGGGGAAAGAUGGUGUUAGAUGUAUAUGUAUACUUGCAUGUAUGUGUUAAUUAUAUGUAUAUGGUAUCUACUUGUUCCUAUUUGUAAGCACAUAGAACAUCAAUGACAUUUGUUCCAGGCAU